ensembl:lncRNA novel transcript
AGCCAUGUGGAAACGUGAGUCCGUUAAACCUCCUUUCUUUUAUACAUUACCCAGUCUCGGAUAUUUCUUCAUAGCAGUAUGAAAAGGGACUAAUACAGCAUCUCUAAGCAAUAUUCGCAGAGCACCCACUAGGUGCCAGUAAAUGUAUGAGAAGUCCUGUGGAAUAAGACUGAAGUUGUCCUUGCCUUCAAGCAACUUGCAAUUGCCUAAGAACACAGUUUAAAACCACAAAACUAAGCCUUGGAAAUCACAUGCUGUCAUUUCUGCGAUCGGUCAUAACCAGUCCUGAUUCCAUGUUAGAGGAGACUACAUAAGGACACAGGUACCAGAAGGAGACUAACCAGCAUGGGCUACAUCAAAAAGGCUGCCAUCUACUUUCUGCUGGGUAGGGGCACCAGAGAGACUUGUCAGAAACUAGAAGGAAGGUAGAGUGCGAAAUCUGAGUGUUAAUUCCCUGGCUUCAUCAAAGGACACUGGUCUUCACAAGGAAACAGACUACAUGAUUCUCCUUUUGGGCUUCAGUAAAAACCCCCUCCUUUCAUCCCUUAGUCUAGGGAUGGUAAGAGGUCAGCAGCUAAGAAUUCUAGGUUCUUUGUGGUUUUCCCGUAUACAUGUCUUUGAUGAUAGCCCCUUUGGAAAUAAAUUCUCCUAGACUUUU